rnacentral:rRNA from 1 species
GAAACUGCGAAUGGCUCAUUAAAACAGUUAUAGUUUAUUUGAUAGUGUUUUUACAUGGAUAACCGUGGUAAUUCUAGAGCUAAUACAUGCGCAAAUACCCGACUCACGAAGGGUAGCAUUUAUUAGUUUCAACCAUCACUUGGUGAAUCAUAGUAACUUAGCUGACCGCGCGCAAGCGUGGUAAAUCAUUCAAGUUUCUGCCCUAUCAGCUUUCGAUGGUAGUGUAUUGGACUACCAUGGCAGUCACGGGUAACGGAGAAUUAGGGUUCGAUUCCGGAGAGGGAGCCUGAGAAACGGCUACCACAUCUAAGGAAGGCAGCAGGCGCGUAAAUUACCCAAUCCCGAUUCGGGGAGGUAGUGACAAGAAAUAACAACUCGGGUGGUUUUCCACUUCGGGAUUGCAAUGAGACAAAUCUAAAAACCUUUACGAUUAACAAUUGGAGGGCAAGUCUGGUGCCAGCAGCCGCGGUAAUUCCAGCUCCAAUAGCGUAUACUUAAGUUGUUGCAGUUAAAAAGCUCGUAGUUGAAAGUCGAAUUAGUCUCGCUGAUGGCUCCAGUCGUCACGUUGGCUGAUUCUCCGUCUAUGAACUUCUUGCUCCUUAAAAAGAAUAAGAUGUUGAGUAGACACUUUACCUUGAAAAAAUUAGAGUGUUCCAGGCAGGUUUUCGCCGGAAUACAUUAGCAUGGAAUAAUGGAAUAGGACACUGGUCUGUUGUUGGUUUUUGGACCAUUGUAAUGAUUAAUAGGGACAGAUGGGGGCAUUAGUAUUUAAUUGUCAGAGGUGAAAUUCUUGGAUUUAUUAAAGACUAACUUAUGCGAAAGCAUUUGCCAAGGAUGUUUUCAUUAAUCAAGAACGAAAGUUAGGGGAUCAAAGACGAUCAGAUACCGUCGUAGUCUUAACUAUUAACUAUACCGACUCGGGAUCGGAAGGGUUAUUAAUUUGGCCCUUUCGGCACCGUAAGAGAAAUCAAAGUCUUUGGGUUCUGGGGGGAGUAUGGUCGCAAGGCUGAAACUUAAAGGAAUUGACGGAAGGGCACCACCAGGAGUGGAGCCUGCGGCUUAAUUUGACUCAACACGGGGAAACUUACCAGGUCAAAACAUGGAUGGGAUUGACAGAUUGAAAGCUCUUUCUUGAUUCUAUGGGUGGUGGUGCAUGGCCGUUCUUAGUUGGUGGAGUGAUUUGUCUGGUUAAUUCCGAUAACGAACGAGACCUUAACCUGCUAACUAGUCCAUUCCUGAAUAAGGGGUGCGACUUCUUAGAGGGACUAUGUAUGUUAAAUGCAUGGAAGUUUAAGGCAAUAACAGGUCUGUGAUGCCCCUAGAUGUCCUGGGCCGCACGCGCGCUACAAUGACACGUUCAGCGAGCUCAUUACCUGGCCCGAAAGGGUUCGGGAAAUCUUGUUAGGACGUGUCGUGCUGGGGAUAGAUCUUUGUAAUUAUAGAUCUUGAACGAGGAAUUCCUUGUAAGCACAGGUCAUCAGCCUGUGCUGAAUACGUCCCUGCCCUUUGUACACACCGCCCGUCGCUCCUACCGAUUUCGAGUGAUGUGGUGAACCAUCUGGACUGCGAGUAGGCUCGAACUACUUGCGGGAAGUUUUGUAAACCUUAUCACUUAGAGGAAGGAGAAGUCGUAACAAGGUUUCCGUAGGUGAACCUGCGGAAGGAUCA